rnacentral:tRNA from 1 species
GGGGGAAUAACAUGAGUGGCUAAUGUAGAGGAACGUAAGCCUUGACGCUGGUUCGAUUCCGGCUUCCUCCA